UUUGCUUUUUAAAAAACGUGAGACGUGUAUAGAACACAAAUGUAUUAUUAAAAAAUACGUACGUACGUACGUGUAUAUAUAUAUAUGUAAAAGACCAUAGCCGCUCGUCUAUACUAAUUUAUUAAAAACAAUUUUUAGAAAAGAAAAAAAAACAGUAUAACCUCCCGGCUAUAUUAUUUUUAAAUUAAAUAAUUAAUUAUUUAACUAAUCGGUUUUAAUUUGAAUAACAGAGCCCAAGAGCCUCAAGGCUCAAGGUCCAUCUUUUGAUUAAUUAAAUAUAUUAAUUAACCAUUAGCCCAACUAAUUAGGCAUUUAACCGAAGGUUAUAUCCACAAGCCACUCAAUUGGGUCACUUACAUGGUCAAUACAAACUAUUCUAUUUCCAAGAGCAUAUCUUAUAAAGACCUCCAAGGAUCUCUAUUUUUCCAAUGUGGGAGCUCAAACAUGUUUGCAAUACCUUGGAAAACCAACAAAACUAUUAUGUUUCCGCACACAUUAUUUGUUGUAGAGAAUUGCAUGCUGAGUUGUAGUGUUCUUGGUAAUUGCUUCACUUUUGAAAUAACACUUUACAUGAAGAAUACUAUCACCUCUCUUACUACUAUACUCAUACUUUCCAAGUACUAGUAGUCUUUCCAUUAACUAUAAUCUAAGACCAUACUUUUUCUAAAGAGUCUUUUUUAAUUUUGGGAUCAGAUAAUGUGUCUGAUCUCUAAAUGUACAUUUUGCG
rnacentral:lncRNA from 1 species